rnacentral:rRNA from 1 species
GACGAACGCUGGCGGCGUGCUUAACACAUGCAAGUCGAACGGACAGGCCCUGCUCUUGUGGCGUGCUUGAUUGGCGAACGGGUGAGUAACACGCGAGUAACCUGCCCUUGUCUUUGGGAUAACUUCACGAAACUGGGGCUAAUACCGCAUAGGAGCUCCUGCUGCACGGUGGGGGUUGGAAAGUUUCGGCGGUUGGGGAUGGACUCGCGGCUUAUCAGCUUGUUGGUGGGGUAGUGGCUUACCAAGGCUUUGACGGGUAGCCGGCCUGAGAGGGUGACCGGCCACAUUGGGACUGAGAUACGGCCCAGACUCCUACGGGAGGCAGCAGUGGGGAAUAUUGCACAAUGGGCGGAAGCCUGAUGCAGCAACGCCGCGUGCGGGAUGACGGCCUUCGGGUUGUAAACCGCUUUCGCCUGUGACGAAGCGUGAGUGACGGUAAUGGGUAAAGAAGCACCGGCUAACUACGUG